rnacentral:rRNA from 1 species
CCUACGAGAGGCAGCAGUGAGGAAUAUUGGUCAAUGGACGCAAGUCUGAACCAGCCAUGCCGCGUGCAGGAAGACGGCUCUAUGAGUUGUAAACUGCUUUUGUACGAGGGUAAACGCAGAUACGCGUAUCUGUCUGACAGUAUCGUACGACUAAGGAUCGGCGAACUCCGUGCCAGCAGCCGCGGUAAUACGGAGGAUUCAAGCGUUAUCCGGAUUUAUUGGGUUUAAAGGGUGCGUAGGCGGUCGGAUAAGUUAGAGGUGAAAUCCCGAGGCUCAACUUCGGAAUUGCCUCUGAUACUGUUCGGCUAGAGAGUAGUUGCGGUAGGCGGAAUGUAUGGUGUAGCGGUGAAAUGCUUAGAGAUCAUACAGAACACCGAUUGCGAAGGCAGCUUACCAAGCUACUUCUGACGUUGAGGCACGAAAGCGUGGGGAGCAAACAGGAUUAGAUACCCCUGUAGUC